AUUGAACGCUGGCGGCAUGCCUUACACAUGCAAGUCGAGGGGUAUAGUUCUUCGGAGCUAGAGACCGGCGCACGGGUGCGUAACGCGUAUGCAAUCUACCUUUUGCAGAGGGAUAGCCCAGAGAAAUUUGGAUUAAUACCUCAUGGUAUGUGAGAAUGGCAUCAUUUUCACAUUAAAGUCACAACGGCAAAAGAUGAGCAUGCGUCCCAUUAGCUAGUUGGUAAGGUAACGGCUUACCAAGGCAACGAUGGGUAGGGGUCCUGAGAGGGAGAUCCCGCACACUGGUACUGAGACACGGACCAGACUCCUACGGGAGGCAGCAGUGAGGAAUAUUGGACAAUGGGCGCAAGCCUGAUCCAGCCAUGCCGCGUGCAGGAUGACGGUCCUAUGGAUUGUAAACUGCUUUUGUACAGGAAGAAACACUGGUUCGUGAACCAGCUUGACGGUACUGUAAGAAUAAGGAUCGGCUAACUCCGUGCCAGCCGCCGCAGUAACAC
rnacentral:rRNA from 1 species